AACGCUGGCGGUAGGCCUAACCCAUGCAAGUCGAACGGCAGCACAGUAAGAGCUUGCUCUUCCGGGUGGCGAGUGGCGGACGGGUGAGGAAUACAUCGGAAUCUACUUUUUCGUGGGGGAUAACGUAGGGAAACUUACGCUAAUACCGCAUACGACCUACGGGUGAAAGCAGGGGAUCUUCGGACCUUGCGCGAUUGAAUGAGCCGAUGUCGGAUUAGCUAGUUGGCGGGGUAAAGGCCCACCAAGGCGACGAUCCGUAGCUGGUCUGAGAGGAUGAUCAGCCACACUGGAACUGAGACACGGUCCAGACUCCUACGGGAGGCAGCAGUGGGGAAUAUUGGACAAUGGGCGCAAGCCUGAUCCAGCCAUACCGCGUGGGUGAAGAAGGCCUUCGGGUUGUAAAGCCCUUUUGUUGGGAAAGAAAAGCAGCAGGUUAAUACCCCGCUGUUCUGACGGUACCCAAAGAAUAAGCACCGGCUAACUUCGUG
rnacentral:rRNA from 1 species